GCAAGCCCAAGGAGUAAACAAGCCCCAUGAUGAAGGGACAGGCAUGACUAGAGGUGCGCUGCAAAAAUUUUGCUGAAACAGCAUCUCCAGAACUUCCUGUGGAUUUGAGGCUGAAGGAAAACACUAUCUAACCCAAAGGAAAAGACAGACCAUGGUCCUUGGAGCACAGUAUCCAACGAUGGAGGGAAAGCCCGGCGACCCGUUGUUGUACAGAAGCCUUCACCAAGCUCUGAGGCUGGCACACGUCCUUAUGAGGCAGCCUGAGGACCAGAUCCUUGGACAUUCUCCGUGGGCCCCCAUUGGGUGACUAGCGCUGACAUCACUUCAUCCACCAACUCACAUAUGGCCUUCUGCGGAGAGAAGGGAUCUUUCUAAAUAUACAGCUGUCUUCUCACUAGGAACGAAGGACAAAACCCAGUUUCUCUAGAGCCUGGCUGGGGAAUUCUGGGAGUUGAAGUCCACCCAUCUUAAACUUGCCAAGGUUGAGAAACACUGCUCUGGAUAGUAAUUGGACAUCUUUGGACACCCACCUUCCAAGAAACAUGCAAAGGAUUUCACAAUUAUCUGAAAAACAGAGGUUAUGAGAAGAUAUUUGGAGUGAGAUAUCAUGGUUCAUAAUGUGUCCAGGGUUGGGAAUGGAAGGGCAACCGUGAGUCCUAUUUUACACAGAGUGGUCCUCAAUUUGGUAUUCUCUUUUAUCUGAAACCUUUCUGUUGCAAAGCAUGGCCAUUACACUGACCUCCACAUACAGAGAAAACCCCAUCCAAAGUAUGAUUCAAGCUGGAAGAAUGGUUGGUGAAGGUGACAGAACUUGCAGAGAU